UCACAUAACACAUCUGCCUUCCAGCUGCCCCUCCAGGAGCGCGCAGCUUUUCCACAGGUCCUAUGUCAUAUCUUCCAGUCUUGUGUGAAUAUCUCGGAUAGUUGAAUAGUCUAAAAUAGACAUCUGAAAAUUAAAUGGAGUAUCCUGUGGUGUAUAAAAUGGCACUAUCCAACCCUCGUCAAGCUACCGUUUCUUUCACAAACUUUAACAGCUGCUUUUUAAGAAAUUCAGGUUCUCUUGCCCCAGACUGACCCGUCUAAACUCAGAGCUCAAACUGGCACUAGAAAACCCUUUGCACAGCAUCCAACUGAUGUGCCUUGGAGCUGAUUUGGACAGGACUCCUGUUAGAUGGGAAAGAAGCCUAAAUCCAAUGUGCUUUGAAAUCAAAGAGGAUCUUUGACUGGCUUUAAUGGAUUUUGAAUCAAGCCCCUGCCCAAGCUGAGCCUGCCAGAGGGAGACUGUCACCACUGACAAGCCGUGCUGCAGGAUGUUGUGAAGGUGGUUACACAUCUCUAGAAAUGGGAUGGUGGUCUCGUAUCAUGCCUUUUCUAGCCCAGG